CCUACGGGGGGCAGCAGUGGGGGAUAUUGCACAAUGGGGGGAACCCUGAUGCAGCGACGCCGCGUGAGCGAUGAAGUAUUUCGGUAUGUAAAGCUCUAUCAGCAGGGAAGAAAAUGACGGUACCUGACUAAGAAGCCCCGGCUAACUACGUGCCAGCAGCCGCGGUAAUACGUAGGGGGCAAGCGUUAUCCGGAUUUACUGGGUGUAAAGGGAGCGUAGACGGCUGUGCAAGUCUGAAGUGAAAGGCAAGGGCUCAACCUUUGGACUGCUUUGGAAACUGUGCAGCUAGAGUGUCGGAGAGGCAA
rnacentral:rRNA from 1 species